GCGGCGUGCUAUACAUGCAAGUCGAACGCUUCUUUUCCCACCGGAGCUUGCUCCACCGGGAAAAGAGGAGUGGCGAACGGGUGAGUAACACGUGGGUAACCUGCCCAUCAGAAGGGGAUAACACUUGGAAACAGGUGCUAAUACCGUAUAACAAUCGAAACCGCAUGGUUUCGUUUUGAAAGGCGCUUUACGGUGCCGCUGAUGGAUGGACCCGCGGUGCAUUAGCUAGUUGGUGAGGUAACGGCUCACCAAGGCCACGAUGCAUAGCCGACCUGAGAGGGUGAUCGGCCACAUUGGGACUGAGACACGGCCCAAACUCCUACGGGAGGCAGCAGUAGGGAAUCUUCGGCAAUGGACGAAAGUCUGACCGAGCAACGCCGCGUGAGUGAAGAAGGUUUUCGGAUCGUAAAACUCUGUUGUUAGAGAAGAACAAGGGUGAGAGUAACUGUUCACCCCUUGACGGUAUCUAACCAGAAAGCCACGGCUAACUACGUGCCAGCAGCCGCGGUAAUACGUAGGUGGCAAGCGUUGUCCGGAUUUAUUGGGCGUAAAGCGAGCGCAGGCGGUUUCUUAAGUCUGAUGUGAAAGCCCCCGGCUCAACCGGGGAGGGUCAUUGGAAACUGGGAGACUUGAGUGCAGAAGAGGAGAGUGGAAUUCCAUGUGUAGCGGUGAAAUGCGUAGAUAUAUGGAGGAACACCAGUGGCGAAGGCGGCUCUCUGGUCUGUAACUGACGCUGAGGCUCGAAAGCGUGGGGAGCAAACAGGAUUAGAUACCCUGGUAGUCCACGCCGUAAACGAUGAGUGCUAAGUGUUGGAGGGUUUCCGCCCUUCAGUGCUGCAGCUAACGCAUUAAGCACUCCGCCUGGGGAGUACGACCGCAAGGGUUGAAACUCAAAGGGAAUUGACGGGGGCCCGCACAAGCGGGUGGGAGCAUGUGGUUUUAAUUUCGAAGCAACGCGAGACCCUUACCCAGGUCUUGACAUCCUUUGACCACUCUAGAGAAUAGAGCUUCCCCCUUUCGGGGCAAGUGACAGUGCUGCAUGAUUGUCGUCAGCUCGUGUCGUGAGAUGUGGAUUAGUCCGGCACGGAGCGCAAUCAUAAUGGUAGCUUGCCAUCAUAGUUAGCACUCCUAGACCAGGACCUGC
rnacentral:rRNA from 1 species